CAAAAAUGGCCGCCGAGUGGAGAAAUUUUCCUAGAAAGACUUUGGGCUGGUUAUUUGAGUAGACUACAUGGAUUAUUCCACGAUGUUCGUAUUAUGGCUAGUGAGACGAAUAAGGGAGUAGGGCACCAUUUAGGACACAGCCCUGACUGGAGCACACGCUGUAGGGCUAGGACAGACUCCCAUUGGAUCUGAAUCUGAGGGGGCGGGGCCUGAUCUAUAUGCGGUAACAACCAGUGGAGGAAAAUAGGAGUGAGAACAGUAUUGAGUUAGCUAAAAAUGAACUAAAGCUCACCCAGCUGGACUUGUUUGAGGUUUUCUGAAGAUUCUAAAAGCAAAGAACGAAGAUGAUAAACUGGCGGGUUUUGGACAACUUUCCCCUACUGCUCUACAUUCUGGCGGCCAAGACUCUUCUCUUGUGUCUUGCCUUUGCUGGAGCCAAACUGUAUCAGCAGAAGAAGGUACAAGCAGAGCUGAAACAGAAGGUUGAGGCGAAGAGAAAACUUGCACAGGAAACACAGGAACUUCACGACAACAAGAAGGAUGACUGAACAUCUUGGUGUGCUAGAGAAAGCAGGAUAAACAAAAUCUCAAUCCGAUCGGGCAUCUGUGAGAUGUGCUGGAAAAAAGUCAGAUCCAAGGAGGUCCCACCUCGCAACUUACAGGACUAAAAGUAUCUGCUGCUAAGGUCUUGGUGCCAAAUACCACAGCGCACCUUCAGAGGUCUUGUGGAGUCCACGCCUCGACGAGUCAGAGCUGUUUUGGUGGCACCAGGGGGAACUACACAAUAUUAGGAUAAACCAGGGGAGGAUGGAGGACCCGCUGGUGUGGCUGGUGUCUGCCUGAAAAGGGGAGGAGCCAUACCCAACCGCCACAAAGUCCAGUGCCACUGUCUGCCGUCGUGGGGGAUCGCUUCCCAGCUGGGAAGAUGACAGCAUGCCUGGGGACUGGAGUCCCUGUCUCUCUCUGUGUUGUCUAAUCAGUGAGAGAGCGACAAAGGAGUGGCUGGAAGCACUGCGAUUUGUGUUUCAACUGUUUUUUCUGUUAUGUUUUGAGUUUUGUUUAUUAUUAAACUUUAUAUUCAGUGA